rnacentral:rRNA from 1 species
GGCUCAGGAUGAACGCUAGCGGCAGGCUUAAUACAUGCAAGUCGUGGGGCAGCAUGAGUAGCAAUACUUGAUGGCGACCGGCAAACGGGUGAGGAACACGUACACAACCUUCCUUCAAGCGGGGAAUAGCCCAGGGAAAUUUGGAUUAAUACCCCAUAAUAUAUUUGAUAAGGCAUCUUAUUAAUAUUAAAGCUUCGGCACUUGAUGAUGGGUGUGCGGCUGAUUAGAUAGUUGGCGGGGUAACGGCCCACCAAGUCUACGAUCAGUAGCUGAUGUGAGAGCAUGAUCAGCCACACGGGCACUGAGACACGGGCCCGACUCCUACGGGAGGCAGCAGUAAGGAAUAUUGGACAAUGGACGAAAGUCUGAUCCAGCCAUGCCGCGUGAAGGAUUAAGGUCCUCUGGAUUGUAAACUUCUUUUAUAUGGGACGAAAAAAGGGCAUUCUUGUUCCCUUGACGGUACCAUAUGAAUAAGCACCGGCUAACUCCGUG